UACAGAGGUCUCAACCGUUGUUCGGAUUCAUUGGGCGUAAAGGGUGCGUAGGCGGUCGUGCAAGUCGGAUGUGAAAUCUCAGGGCUCAACCCUGAAACUGCAUUCGAUACUGCGUGGCUAGAGUGCUGGAGAGGAGACUGGAAUUUACGGUGUAGCAGUGAAAUGCGUAGAGAUCGGGAGGAACACCCGUGGCGAAGGCGGCUCUCUGGGACGGUACUGACGCUGAGACGCGAAAGCGUGGGGAGCGAACAGG
rnacentral:rRNA from 1 species